UGUUCCUCUUCUUGUUUUCUAUAAAGAGUUAUGAAACAUCGAAGCAUCCUUCUCGUUCAGAUUAUGAAUCAAAGUCGUUACAUCGAAUCAUUGGUUUACUAAACGAUAACAGUGGUUUGAUUUGCAUAACUGAAGCCAUUGAGGCUUUCUAUUGGUUGGAUUGGGUAUGUUGAGGCACAUCCUUUGGAAGUUUCAACUCGAUCCUUUAGUUUUGGGUUUGUGGUGCUGGCUGGCUACAACGUUGUUACGGUGAAGAACAUGGCCUCUUAAUUAUGACCUUUGCCAUUGUCGUUGGAAAUUUGAUGCACACUUGCCUAAAUCGUUGAUUCAAUAUGUGGAUUACUGUUUCAAUUUGCUAUGUUGCGAUCCAUGUGGCCUUGGUGUUUACAGAUCUUAUCUUUUUCCCAGUAGGCGGAAACCUUUGGCAGCUUUUAGUGCUAAAGAUUUUAUGCAGGUUACUCUAGGCUCUUGGUGGUGGAGACAACGAUGUCCAUGGUGGCUAUAUCAUAUCAUGGGAUUUGCAACCAAGCCUUUGUUGUCCUUGCUACCCACACACUUAUGUGGUCCUGCAACCCACGCCUCCUACUACGUUUGUACUCGUGUCUUCCUUGUGGACACGUCAUCGUCUUUAGUUAAGUUUUAAGUAUUUGUUCUGUAGCAUUUUGAGAGGGUUAGAUUAGUAGAUUCUGUGUAGUUGUUGUGAUAUGUUUGUGUUAUGCGAUUUAUGUGGUUUCGUUGUCGAUAGCUUUAUGUCAGGGUAUCAGUUUUAGGACUGUCGCAUCUACUAUCUGUAAUGCCCUAGAAAAUUUAAAAUAUAUGAAAAUAUAGAAAAAUUUAUCGAUAA